GGACGAACGCUGGCGGCGUGCCUAAUACAUGCAAGUCGAACGAACUCUGGUAUUGAUUGGUGCUUGCAUCAUGAUUUACAUUUGAGUGAGUGGCGAACUGGUGAGUAACACGUGGGAAACCUGCCCAGAAGCGGGGGAUAACACCUGGAAACAGAUGCUAAUACCGCAUAACAACUUGGACCGCAUGGUCCGAGCUUGAAAGAUGGCUUCGGCUAUCACUUUUGGAUGGUCCCGCGGCGUAUUAGCUAGAUGGUGGGGUAACGGCUCACCAUGGCAAUGAUACGUAGCCGACCUGAGAGGGUAAUCGGCCACAUUGGGACUGAGACACGGCCCAAACCCCUACGGGAGGCAGCAGUAGGGAAUCUUCCACAAUGGACGAAAGUCUGAUGGAGCAACGCCGCGUGAGUGAAGAAGGGUUUCGGCUCGUAAAACUCUGUUGUUAAAGAAGAACAUAUCUGAGAGUAACUGUUCAGGUAUUGACGGUAUUUAACCAGAAAGCCACGGCUAACUACGUGCCAGCAGCCGCGGUAAUACGUAGGUGGCAAGCGUUGUCCGGAUUUAUUGGGCGUAAAGCGAGCGCAGGCGGUUUUUUAAGUCUGAUGUGAAAGCCUUCGGCUCAACCGAAGAAGUGCAUCGGAAACUGGGAAACUUGAGUGCAGAAGAGGACAGUGGAACUCCAUGUGUAGCGGUGAAAUGCGUAGAUAUAUGGAAGAACACCAGUGGCGAAGGCGGCUGUCUGGUCUGUAACUGACGCUGAGGCUCGAAAGUAUGGGUAGCAAACAGGAUUAGAUACCCUGGUAGUCCAUACCGUAAACGAUGAAUGCUAAGUGUUGGAGGGUUUCCGCCCUUCAGUGCUGCAGCUAACGCAUUAAGCAUUCCGCCUGGGGAGUACGGCCGCAAGGCUGAAACUCAAAGGAAUUGACGGGGGCCCGCACAAGCGGUGGAGCAUGUGGUUUAAUUCGAAGCUACGCGAAGAACCUUACCAGGUCUUGACAUACUAUGCAAAUCUAAGAGAUUAGACGUUCCCUUCGGGGACAUGGAUACAGGUGGUGCAUGGUUGUCGUCAGCUCGUGUCGUGAGAUGUUGGGUUAAGUCCCGCAACGAGCGCAACCCUUAUUAUCAGUUGCCAGCAUUAAGUUGGGCACUCUGGUGAGACUGCCGGUGACAAACCGGAGGAAGGUGGGGAUGACGUCAAAUCAUCAUGCCCCUUAUGACCUGGGCUACACACGUGCUACAAUGGAUGGUACAACGAGUUGCGAACUCGCGAGAGUAAGCUAAUCUCUUAAAGCCAUUCUCAGUUCGGAUUGUAGGCUGCAACUCGCCUACAUGAAGUCGGAAUCGCUAGUAAUCGCGGAUCAGCAUGCCGCGGUGAAUACGUUCCCGGGCCUUG
rnacentral:rRNA from 1 species